GAUGAACGCUAGCUACAGGCCUAACACAUGCAAGUCGAGGGGCAUCGGGAGGGAAGCUUGCUUUCCCUUGCCGGCGACCGGCGCACGGGUGAGUAACGCGUAUCGAACCUGCCCCCAGUACCCGGGGAUAGCCUUGACGAAAGUAAGAUUAAUACCCGAUGGCUUCCUUUGCCUCCUGACAAAGGGAUAAAGAUUUCGGUAUAGGGAUGGCGAUGCGUCCGAUUAGCUGG
rnacentral:rRNA from 1 species